ACACUACAGUCUUCCUCCUUCAGUAUCCACCAUCUUAUUUCAGUCCUCACUCUCCUCCUCUUCCUCUUCACCUCCAAAUCCACUUGUGAAGUAUAAGCACUGAUGACAUUUAUCAUCACAACUUUAACUUCCAGCUUCAUGUUCAUCACCAUAUCAGAAACUCUCUUCACCUCCACUACGCUUUUACUGUACUUUUCCUUCAUAAUCACUCCUACACCAUUUCUCUUUCCAUCCACACCAUGAAAGAACAGUUUAAACCCACCUCCAACGUUCCUGGCCUUACUCCCUUUAGCUCAUUUGUUAUUGUUCAUAGCCUGUAUGACUUCUUUCUUUGAAACCCAAACAGAGAACCACGCAGAAUGUAAAUCUCAAAUCCCACUGUAACCUGUAAUCUUCUGUUCAGAUUUAUUCAUUUGUUUGGUUAUGUAUGUUUGCUGUAUUUAAAGCAUAUUACUUAAGUUUUCUAUCCUGAUGCUGAUAUUCUGUUUAUUAUCCCAUCAUUUUUUAUACUUGCACCAAAUUUUAGGCACAGUCAACUGGGAACAAUUUACAUCUUUUGACACAUUCGGUGUUGGAUUUCUUUCUUGAAGGAGUCUUCUAAUCCCUUCCAAUCUUUUAAAUGACAACUCUGAGCAGAGUCUGACAGCUCUUUAAGGUGCAGUGGGUUGUGUGGAGCUCUAUUGAUUUGCAGGAGGAGGGAUUGAGAGGCAGUGAGGCUCCCUGGAGCCCAGGGUUACACCGCAACUGCAGUGGCCUGAUGGAAACUGCACAGUACGAGUGGAGAGAGCUGAGCAAACAAACACGCACACACAGAUGUAUAUUGGCAUGAAUGUAUACGCCGCCAGAAUACUGCACACACUUAACACUAUGCACCAACACGCAUGCAGCCCACCUCGAUGCUCAUCCUAAUGAGACCCUACACAGACCUACACAGGAGCAGCACACACCCUGUCUAAAAGAAAAAUGCGACCAGACAACACGCAAAUCCGUGUUAAACAUCAUGCUUGCCCGUGUCCAUGGUUUGCUGUUGACGCAGAGGAGGGUCGUGCCAGCAACACUUGUUUAAAUUAGCUAAUCGGUGUGUUGGAACACACACGUUUUCAGGCGGGUCGCAGUUUGCGCUCUUCAUCCGUUCGCCUUGUGGGGGGGCAGCGGUAUUGAUCAAGCCGCAGGCGAUCGAUCACUAGAAUAGUGUGUGUCUCUGAAUUUGAUAAUGACUCGCAGUAUGACAUCAGUGCUAUGCAGCUGUAAUUGAUAUAUUCUCACUGAGGCAGAAAAAGAGAGGAAGAGCAAAAAAGCUUAGUUCAACAUUACAGACCGUGGACUAUACAAGUCUCAUAAACCAAUUCCCAUCCUACACAAAUAUAUAAACAUGAUUCCAACUAAAGAAAAGCAUUUAAUGAAUUGUUCUUUCAAUACAAUGGUCUAUUACGUCUGCCGCAAUUCCCACGAACCGAAGCUUUGCUAGAUUUCCAUGUACUGAGAAAACAGAAAAUCUGUUUACUCGGUCCCAACUCGGCCCCCGAUAACUUUCUCUGCAUUUCUCUUGCUUGAUGUAAUCACCCUUAGUUUGCUCAGAUAUGGUACAUAGAUAGAAACUAAACAAAACAAAAGAAUAUCCCUUUAAUCCAGAGAUACGCCCUGCCUGUGUCUUCACAAGAAUCUCCUCAGUCCUACACGGCUGCACACAGCCACACUACACCUGCACCAAGUCCUCAGCGUGGCCGCUGGCGCGCUCCAGCAGGGGGGAGGCACACCAGGUAGAACAGCCGCCUUCUCUUCCCCCCCUGCUCAUUGCAAGAACUGGGGGGGUGGCUGUGCGCUUGGCAGAACAGCCCUUCGGAGCUCAGUCAAUAUCUACGCUGUCAUUGUUUUCCUAAACUGGUUAUAAAAGAGAGGCUAAAUCCUGCAGAGCUGCACACUCCUGGGAAAUAUGGCCCAGUCCCAUUACUAAUGCAGAGACCGCCAGACUGCUGCGCCCGCUAAGGGGGAGGAGAGAGGGAGACAAGAAGAGAGGGAGACAGAGAGUGAGGAAGAGGGGAGAGGGAGGGGAGAAGAGAGAGAGAUAAAGGAAAAUCAAAUCUACGUUUCCCAACACUGCCUCUUCUCACAUAAGAGCAUGUGCAUGCAGUCGGACCGAAGGUACUGUCAUGUCACUUUCAAUCAGGCCUCCGUGUGACUGUGUAUAUACUGCAGGGUCCCCGGCUCCGUGACGCCCCCUAGGGACGGUGCAGUAACGGUGAGACUGUAAUGUGUUGGCUAGCUCGGUUCAAACAGGAAAAGAGGAAAAAAGAGACAGAAUGCGAUUAGCAAGCUGGAUGCACCAAGGAAAACGUGGAGGUGUGGUUAGUGUCCAGUCAUUAAACUGGGCCUGUAUGUAGACAUCACUGUGUUGAGGGGGUCUCAGAGCAUAAAACUUAUACCCCACCCUCACAAAAACACACACGUACCCCUGGCAUACAAUGUGCUAUAGACACCGUUUCAAUGUUUGUUAACACCCAUCAAUAACCCAAUCCUUACCUGUAGCAUAUGUGAGAUACUACAAACAAAUAAUACAACACAUUUUUCUUUCAAAUAAAAUGUUUACUCAGAAUUAUCUUACUAUUUAAGUCUAAGAGCAGUUGUUAAAUUCCAUUAAUAAACAUUUAACAUGUAUAAUACAAAUGAACACCAGUUCAGUCUAAUCUUCCUUGUUUUCUUUAACCUGGUCCACCGAAGAAAACAAAAUUACAUUUCAAUUUGCUCGUCAUUUUACUGCAAUUCAAAUGAAAUAAUUAAUUGAAAAUAAAAAAAAUUAAAAAGCUA